CGUUGUUGCAGUUAAAAAGCUCGUAGUUGAAGUGAGGGAGUGUGUGGGUAUGAGAGCUAGUCUCAAGUACUUACAACCUCCCCCCUCCAAUCGGUGUAGUGGGGUAUUCACUUAUUUCACUACUCCUUUGGUCGUUUACUGUGAGAAAAUUAGAGUGUUCAAAGCGGGCGUUUGUUUGAAUAGAUUAGCAUGGAAUAAUGAUUGAAGGCUUUCGUGUUCGAUUUGAUUGGUUUGUUCAUGGAAGCAAGGUUAAAAGGAACAGUUGGGGGUAUUCAUAUUCACUAGUUAGAGGUGAAAUUCUCGGAUUUAUGGAAGAUGAACAGGUGCGAAAGCAUUUACCAAGGAUGUUUUCAUUAAUCA
rnacentral:rRNA from 1 species